GACGAGUAAAUGAGCUGCUAACUACAUGUAC
rnacentral:tRNA from 1 species